rnacentral:rRNA from 1 species
CGGUUGAUCCUGCCAGUAGUCAUAUGCUUGUCUCAAAGAUUAAGCCAUGCAUGUCUAAGUAUAAACAAGUUUGUACUGUGAAACUGCGAAUGGCUCAUUAAAUCAGUUAUAGUUUAUUUGAUGAUGACUUUCUACAUGGAUAACUGUGGAAAACUAGAGCUAAUACAUGCAACUAAAGCCCCGACUUCUGGGAGGGGUGUAUUUAUUAGAUAAAAAACCAACGCGGCUCGCCGCUCGUUUGGUGAUUCAUAAUAACUUUUCGAAUCGCAUGGCCUUGUGCUGGCGAUGCUUCAUUCAAAUAUCUGCCCUAUCAACUUUCGAUGGUAGGAUAGUGGCCUACCAUGGUUUCAACGGGUAACGGGGAAUAAGGGUUCGAUUCCGGAGAGGGAGCCUGAGAAACGGCUACCACAUCCAUGGAAGGCAGCAGGCGCGCAAAUUACCCAAUCCCGACACGGGGAGGUAGUGACAAUAAAUAACGAUAUAGGGCUCUUUAGGGUCUUAUAAUUGGAAUGAGUACAAUUCAAAUCUCUUAACGAGGAACAAUUGGAGGGCAAGUCUGGU